rnacentral:misc_RNA from 1 species
GAUGAAGAACGUAGCGAAAUGCGAUAAGUAAUGUGAAUUGCAGAAUUCAGUGAAUCAUCGAAUCUUUGAACGCACAUUGCGCCCGCCAGUAUUCUGGCGGGCAUGCCUGUUCGAGCGUCAUUUCAACCCUCAGGCCCCCAGUGCCUGGUGUUGGGGAUCGGCCCAGCCUUCCUGUAAGGCCGCCGGCCCCGAAAUCUAGUGGCGGUCUCGCUGUAGUCCUCCUCUGCGUAGUAUCACAACCUCGCAGUUGGAACGCGGCGGUGGCCAUGCCGUUAAACACCCCACUUCUGAAAGUUGACCUCGGAUCAGGUAGGAAUACCCGCUGAACUUAAGCAUAUCAAUAAGCGGAGGA